GAACGAACGCUGGCGGCAUGCCUAACACAUGCAAGUCGAACGCUCCGCAAGGGGAGUGGCGAACGGGUGAGUAACGCGUGGGAACCUGCCCAGUAGUUGGGGGAUAACCGCGGGAAACUGCGGCUAAUACCGAAUACGCCCUAAGGGGAAAGGAUUUAUCGCUAUUGGAGGGGCCCGGCGUCGGAUUAGCUGGUUGGUGAGGUAACGGCUCACCAAGGCGACGAUCCGUAGCUGGUCUGAGAGGANGAUCAGCCACACUGGGACGUUAGACACCGGCCCACGACUCCUACGGGAGGGCAGCAGUGGGGAAGUAUUGGACGAAUGGGGGCGAACCCUCGAUCCAGCAAUAGCCGCGUGAGUGAUGAAGGCC
rnacentral:rRNA from 1 species